rnacentral:rRNA from 1 species
GACGAACGCUGGCGGCGUGCUUAACACAUGCAAGUCGAACGGUGAAGCGCCUUCCUUUUUGGUGGGUGUGGAUGAGUGGCGAACGGGUGAGUAACACGUGAGUAACCUGCCCCCUUCUUCUGGAUAACCGCAUGAAAGUGUGGCUAAUACGGGAUAUUCUGGGUCUGUCGCAUGAUGGGUCUGGGAAAGAUAUUGUUUCGGUGGGGGAUGGGCUCGCGGCCUAUCAGCUUGUUGGUGGGGUGAUGGCCUACCAAGGCGGUGACGGGUAGCCGGCCUGGGAGGGUGGACGGUCACACUGGGACUGAGACACGGCCCAGACUCCUACGGGAGGCAGCAGUGGGGAAUAUUGCACGAUGGGCGCAAGCCUGAUGCAGCGACGCCGCGUGAGGGAUGGAGGCCUUCGGGUUGUGAACCUCUUUCGCCAGUGAAGCAGGCCUGCCUCGUUUGUGGGUGGGUUGACGGUAGCUGGAUAAGAAGCGCCGGCUAACUACGUG